rnacentral:rRNA from 1 species
UCCUACGGGUGGCUGCAGUGAGGAAUAUUGGACAAUGGGUGCAAGCCUGAUCCAGCCAUCCCGCGUGAAGGAUUAAGGUCCUAUGGAUUGUAAACUUCUUUUAUACAGGGAUAAACCUACUUACGUGUAAGUAGCUGAAGGUACUGUAUGAAUAAGCACCGGCUAACUCCGUGCCAGCAGCCGCGGUAAUACGGAGGGUGCAAGCGUUAUCCGGAUUUAUUGGGUUUAAAGGGUCCGUAGGCGGACUUAUAAGUCAGUGGUGAAAUCUCAUAGCUUAACUAUGAAACUGCCAUUGAUACUGUAAGUCUUGAGUGUAGUUGAGGUAGCUGGAAUAAGUAGUGUAGCGGUGAAAUGCAUAGAUAUUACUUAGAACACCAAUUGCGAAGGCAGGUUACCAAGUUACAACUGACGCUGAUGGACGAAAGCGUGGGGAGCGAACAGGAUUAGAUACCCCAGUAGUC